rnacentral:rRNA from 1 species
AGUGAACGCUGGCGGCAGGCCUAACACAUGCAAGUCGAACGGCAGUACAGUACGAGCUUGCUCUUACGGGUGGCGAGUGGCGGACGGGUCAUGAAUAAACCGGACCCUACUUUUUCGUGGGGGAUAACGAAGGGAAACUUACGCUAAUACCGCAUACGACCUACGGGUGAAAGCAGGGGAUCUUCGGACCUUGCGCGAUUGAAUGAGCCGAUGUCGGAUUAGCUAGUUGGCGGGGUAAAGGCCCACCAAGGCGACGAUCCGUAGCUGGUCUGAGAGGAUGAUCAGCCACACUGGAACUGAGACACGGUCCAGACUCCUACGGGAGGCAGCAGUGGGGAAUAUUGGACAAUGGGCGAAAGCCUGAUCCAGCCAUACCGCGUGGGUGAAGAAGGCCUUCGGGUUGUAAAGCCCUUUUGUUGGGAAAGAAAAGCAGCAGGUUAAUACCCCGCUGUUCUGACGGUACCCAAAGAAUAAGCACCGGCUAACUUCGUG